rnacentral:lncRNA from 1 species
GUUGAUGUUAGGUAGGCAGCUACAGUAGCUGAAUGAUGUUAACAUCUUCGGGUUUUGUUUCAUUAAAUGUAUUUUAUUUCAUCUGGGUGCUUACGUCACCUACUAACACCCUGGUACUACCCGUAGCUCCCGUUCAACUCAGUCUGAUAAAACACUGAGAGAGAAAGAACAGCUUGUCAGGUGGUGCAUUGGAGACUGAUGUUCCUGUCCUGUCUUUUCACAAUCCUAUUGCAGGCUCUGAUCAGGCCCUACACCCAAACAAGGGCACUGCGUUCAUCCACCUCUGGCCUGCUCCCCUCCCUACCUCUGAGGAAGCACAGUUCCCGCUCAGCCCAGUCAAAACUGUUCGCUGCUCUGGCACCCCAAUGGUGGAACAAGCUCCCUCACGACGCCAGGACAGCGGAGUCAAUCACCACCUUCCGGAGACACCUGAAACCCCACCUCUUUAAGGAAUACCUGGGAUAGGAUAAAGUAAUCCUUCUAACCCCCCCUUAAAAGAUUUAGAUGCAGUAUUGUAAAGUGGUUGUUCCACUGGAUAUUAUAAGGUGAAUGCACCAAUUUGUAAGUCGC